UGAGGAAUAUUGGGCAAUGCCCGCAAGGGUGACCCAGCAACGCCGCGUGGAGGAUGAAUGUCGUAAGAUUGUAAACUCCUGUUAGAGGGGAAGAAUAGUACCGGUUGGACCGGUAUAUGACUGUACCCUCAGAGAAAGCCCCGGCUAACUACGUGCCAGCAGCCGCGGUAAUACGUAGGGGGCAAGCGUUGUCCGGAUUUGCUGGGUGUAAAGGGCGCGCAGGCGGGAUAAAAAGUCAGUGGUGAAAUCCUACAGCUUAACUGUAGAACUGCCUUUGAUACUUUUAUUCUUGAGUUCGGGAGAGAGAGACGGAAUUCCAGGUGUAGUGGUGAAAUACGUAGAUAUCUGGAAGAACACCAGUUGCGAAGGCGGUCUCUUGGUCCGACACUGACGCUGAGGCGCGAAAGCGUGGGGAGCAAACA
rnacentral:rRNA from 1 species